AUUCGUGAAUAAAAAUCUUUUUUUCUUUUUUUAAUGAUUUUAUGAAGAGAGAUAAAAUAAACCUUAUGAAAUUAUGAUAAAACCUUAUGAAUUAAUUGACUGGUCUGGGUUUGGACUCAGAUGAAAUAUUUCGAUAUCUAUUUGUAAGUUGUAAGCAUACAAAAAAUGUAGUUUUAGUGACCAAUAGGUUAUUGAUGUUUUCAAGUAAAACAGUCACUAAUAACCUAAAUUAUCAAUAAUUUUUUGUGACCAGCAAAUUAAUA
rnacentral:lncRNA from 1 species